rnacentral:lncRNA from 1 species
UAACUUCUGUUAGUUUCACUGUGCCUCUGUUUAGUUUCUGUUUCCAGGAUCUGUCCAUUGAAGACAGUGGGGUGCUAAAGUCUCCCACUAUUAUUGUGUGAGAUCCCAUUAGCAGCUGUCAAGUACAUGAACAGCCCUAAAGGUGGCAAUAGGAAUAUGUGAGCCCAGAAAACAUCUAAACAGCAUUCAACGAAAUCCAAGUGAAAUCUACCAUAUAAUUGAGCAAAUCUAAAGAGUGUCUUUCACUGGAACCCAAAGAAGUCCUCCACCUUCUGGGCUUUCCUAAGCCAAGGUCUCCCUUUUCUAACAAAUAAAGAAAUAUCUUACCCAUUGCUUU